GUGAAGCGGCAAAAGCUCAAAUUUGAAACCCUCGGGAUUGUAAUUUGAAGAUUUGGCAUUGGAGAAAGCUAACCCAAGUUGCUUGGAAUAGUACGUCAUAGAGGGUGACAACCCCGUCUGGCUAACCGUUCUCCAUGUAUUGCCUUAUCAAAGAGUCGAGUUGUUUGGGAAUGCAGCUCAAAGUGGGUGGUAAACUCCAUCUAAAGCUAAAUACUGGUGAGAGACCGAUAGCGAACAAGUACUGUGAAGGAAAGGUGAAAAGAACUUUGAAAAGAGAGUGAAAUAGUAUGUGAAAUUGUUGAUAGGGAAGGAAAUGAGUGGAGAGUGGCCGAGGUUUCAGCCGCCCCUCGUGGGCGGUGUACUGCCGACGCCGAGUCAUCGAUAGCGAGACGAGGGUUACAAAUGGGAGCGCCUUUCGGGCGUUCUCCCCUAACCCUCCACACUGCCACCGACGACAUAAUCCACCCAUUUCACCCGUCUUGAAACACGGACCA
rnacentral:rRNA from 1 species